rnacentral:lncRNA from 1 species
GUCAAUAGUCGAUUAUUGACUUUGAUCGGUCAAAGUCAACAUUGAAUGUUAAUCGCCCAAAGUCAACAUUGACUAUUGACUAGUCAACUGGUUGAUUGGGUCGGGUCAACAUCUGGUCGGGUCCUGGACCGAGUUGGGUCUAGGCUGGGUUGACCCAACCCAAACCCAUCUAGGCUUUAGCCCACCCGAAUUGGCCUUUCCUUUUUUUUUUCUUUCCUUCUUUUUUUCUUUUUCUUUCCUUCUUGUGGACGAA